GCCGGUGUAGCUCAGUUGGUAGAGCGGUUCAUUCGUAAUGAAAAGGUCGGGGGUUCGAUUCCCUUCUCCGGCACCA
rnacentral:tRNA from 2 species